CCUACGGGGGCAGCAGUGGGGAAUAUUGGACAAUGGGCGAAAGCCUGAUCCAGCCAUGCCGCGUGUGUGAAGAAGGCCUUCGGGUUGUAAAGCACUUUCAGUGGGGAAGAAAGCCUUGGGGCUAAUACCCUCGAGGAAGGACAUCACCCACAGAAGAAGCACCGGCUAACUCCGUGCCAGCAGCCGCGGUAAUACGGAGGGUGCGAGCGUUAAUCGGAAUUACUGUGCGUAAAGCGCGCGUAGGCGGUCUGAUAAGCCGGUUGUGAAAGCCCCGGGCUCAACCUGGGAACGGCAUCCGGAACUGUCAGGCUAGAGUGCAGGAGAGGAAGGUAGAAUUCCCGGUGUAGCGGUGAAAUGCGUAGAGAUCGGGAGGAAUACCAGUGGCGAAGGCGGCCUUCUGGACUGACACUGACGCUGAGGUGCGAAAGCGUGGGUAGCAAACAGGAUUAGAUACCCUGUAGUC
rnacentral:rRNA from 1 species